rnacentral:rRNA from 1 species
UACGUAGGGUGCGAGCGUUAAUCGGAAUUACUGGGCGUAAAGCGUGCGCAGGCGGUUUUUUAAGUCAGAUGUGAAAUCCCCGGGCUUAACCUGGGAACUGCGUUUGAAACUACAAGGCUAGAGUGUAGCAGAGGGGGGUGGAAUUCCACGUGUAGCAGUGAAAUGCGUAGAGAUGUGGAGGAACACCGGUGGCGAAGGCGGCGCACUGGCUCGUAACUGACGCUGAGGCACGAAAGCGUGGGGAUCAAACAGG